AAUUCGCCCUUGAGCACGUAGGUGGGUUUGUAAGUCAGGUGUGAAAGCCUUCUGUUCAACGGGAGAAUUGCAUCUGAAACUACGAAUCUUGAGUGUAGGAGGGGAGAAUGGAACUUCUGGUGGAGCGGUGAAAUGCGUAGAUAUCAGAAGGAACGCCGGCGGCGAAAGCGAUUCUCUGGCCUAUUACUGACACUCAGUGUGCGAAAGCUAGGGGAGCAAACGGGAUUAGAUACCCCAGUAGUCCUAGCCGUAAACGAUGGGCACUAAGUAGUGGGAAUUACCGAUGUUCUCUCUGCCGUAGCUAACGCAUUAAGUGCCCCGCCUGGGGAGUACGGCCGCAAGGCUAAAACUCAAAAGAAUUGACGGGGGCUCGCACAAGCGGUGGAGCAUGUGGCUUAAUUCGAUGCAACGCGAAGAACCUUACCGGGGCUUGACAUGGUAGAAGUAGGAACCCGAAAGGGUAACGAACGGUAUCCAGUCCGUAGCUAUCACAGGUGUUGCAUGGCUGUCGUCAGCUCGUGUCGUGAGACGUUGGGUUAAGUCCCCUAACGAGCGAAACCCUUGUUUUUAGUUACCAGCGGGUUGUGCCGGGUACUCUAGAAAGACUGCCGUCGUCAAGACGGAGGAAGGUGGGGAUGACGUCAAGUCAUCGUGGCCCUUAUGCCCCGGGCUGCACACGCGCUACAAUGGUCGGUACAAACGGAAGCGAAGCCGAGAGGUGAAGCGAAUCCAAGGGCGAAUU
rnacentral:rRNA from 1 species